CUCUCUCUGCCUAUUUAUAUAUAUAGCAUUGCCCAACUCUUAUCCCUCCAACCCCAACCCCAAUCCCUCUCUCUAGCUAUUUGUCUGUUUAUUAUUUCUACCUCAAAUUUCCAGCUGAGGGAAUCCACACUCCGCACUUCACAGCUUCUCUCAAUCAGAGAACUAAGAAGAUAAAGAUGUGGAAGCUCAAAAUUGCAGAAGGUAAUGGGCCCUACUUAUAUAGCACAAACAACUUUGUUGGUAGACAAAUUUGGGAGUUCGACCCAGAUGCCGGCACCCCAGAAGAGCGAGCUGCAAUUGAAAAGGCAAGAGAGGAAUACAAACAAAUUUUCAAAAAGGAUCGAGCUCGGGCUUUGCCUUGUGCUGAUCUUCUAAUGCGGAUGCAGUUUAAAAAGGAAAACAGUCAUAUCGAUCUAAGCAUACCACCAGUGAGGCUAGGGGACAAAGAAGAAGUAACCUACGAAGCCACCACGACAGCUUUAAGAAAAGCCGUCCGAUUAAAUCGCGCAAUCCAAGCCCCCGACGGCCAUUGGGCCGCAGAAAAUGCAGGCCCAAUGUUUUUUACUCCACCCCUGGUCAUUGUCCUAUACAUAAGUGGAGCAAUCAACUCCAUCUUUACAGCAGAGCACAGAAAGGAACUGAAACGUUAUAUUUAUCUCCAUCAGAAUGAUGAUGGGGGAUGGGGAUUUUACAUAGAGGGGCAUAGCACGAUGAUUGGGUCAGCACUUAGCUACGUUGCUCUGCGCUUGUUGGGGGAAGGCCCAGAUGAUGGAGAAGGUGGGGCGAUGUCCAAAGCCCGGAAAUGGAUACUUGACAAUGGUGGUGCAACUGGGAUACCCUCUUGGGGAAAAACUUAUCUCUCGGUGCUUGGAGUGUAUGAAUGGGCAGGCUGCAACCCAUUACCCCCAGAAUUUUGGCUUUUCCCUUCUUUUUUGCCUUAUCAUCCAGCAAAAAUGUGGUGCUAUUGUCGAACAACUUAUAUGCCAAUGUCAUACUUAUAUGGGAGGAAGUAUCACGGGCCAAUAACCGAUCUAGUCAAGGCAAUUAGACAAGAAAUCCACACGAAGCCAUACGAGGAGAUAAAUUGGAACAAAGCACGGCAUCAUUGUUGUAAGGAGGAUCUCUAUUAUGAGCAUACCUUCGUACAGGAUCUCCUUUGGGAUACACUUCAUUAUUUGAGUGAGCCGAUCAUGAACCGUUGGCCCUUCAACAAGAUCAGAGAUAGAGCCAUUAAGAAGACAGUUAAGUAUCUACGUUAUGGAGCAGAGAAUAGCAGAUACAUCACCAUAGGAUGUGUUGAGAAGAGUUUGCAAAUGAUGUGUUGGUGGGCUGAAAACCCGAAUGGUGAUGAAUUCAAGCACCAUCUCGCUCGAGUUCCUGAUUACAUGUGGCUUGCUGAAGAUGGAAUGAAAAUGCAGAGUUUUGGAAGCCAAAUAUGGGACACUACUCUUGCCACUCAGGCACUUAUAGCAAGCAAUAUGGUCGAAGAGUGUGGGGAUGCACUUAAGAAGUCGCACUUCUACAUAAAAGAAUCACAGAUCAAAGAAAAUCCAGCUGGGGAUUUCUCAAGUAUGUAUCGCCAAUUUACUAAAGGAGCAUGGACUUUCUCUGAUCAAGAUCAAGGUUGGGUUGUCUCAGACUGUACAGCUGAGUCACUUAAGUGUCUACUAAUUUUUUCGCAAAUGCCUCCUGAAAUUGCUGGGGAGAAAGCCGACACUCAAAGGUUAUAUGAGGCAGUGAAUGUCCUCCUAUAUUUACAGCACCCUGAAAGUGGUGGAUUUGCUAUUUGGGAGGUGGUUGUUCCAUUACCAGCUUUGCAGGCAUUGAAUCCUUCAGAAUUGUUUGCUGACAUUGUCGUCGAAACUGAGCAUGUGGAGUGUACUGCCUCUAUAAUCCAGGCUCUGCUAAUGUUCAAGCACUUACAUCCGGGGCAUCGGGAGAAAGAAAUAGAGGUUUCUGUGGCAAAAGCAAUUCGUUUCCUUGAGGGCAGACAGUGGCCUGAUGGUUCUUGGUAUGGAUACUGGGGAAUUUGUUUCAUCUACGGGACAUUCUUUGUGCUAGGAGGGUUAGCUUCAGCUGGAAGGACGUAUAACAACUGCCAAGCAGUUCGGAGAGGGGUUGAAUUUUUGCUUAAUUCACAAAAUGAAGAGGGAGGCUGGGGAGAGAGCCUUGAAUCAUGCCCAUCUAUGAAAUACCAACCUCUGGAAGGAAACCGAACCAACUUGGUACAGACAUCAUGGGCUAUGCUUGGUCUCAUUCAUGGUGGACAGGCUGAGAGAGAUCCAACACCUUUACAUAAAGCAGCAAAGCUAUUGAUUAAUGCACAAAUGGAUGAUGGUGAUUUUCCACAACAGGAACAAACUGGAGUCUACAUGAAGAAUUGCAUGCUGCAUUAUGCACAGUACAGAAACAUAUUCCCAAUGUGGGCCCUUGGAGAAUACCGCAAGCAUGUUUGGCCUUCUUGCUAGAAAGUGUGAAAUCCAACUUUCUCUCUCCCUAAAGUAUAAAUUGGAGACAUAGUUUAUGUAACAACUGUGUCAAUCCCUGUGGCCACGUCGAAAAUUGUAUUCCAAUAAGAAAAAAUGCAGGAUUUAUGGAA